rnacentral:lncRNA from 1 species
GGACACAUCCCACAGGCUCUGGCGGGUCAUGCUGGAGAUGCCCAGGCGCCCGCGCCGCGCGGGGGCGCUACACCUGAAAGCAGAGGGAACAGCAUCUAUGUGAGCGCCGGCACUCCCCACCCCAAGUCUUUCUCUUGUUUUCUCUUCACCCUCAUCUGACUGGCCUCUCCAGCAGGGUCUCUAGGACCUGUUUCAAUGUCAGCUCCUCCAAAGCAUGACUUCAGAGUCAGCUGUGAGCCUCUCAGCCUGCUUCUGCCUGUGUCUUCACUAUGCAGACAUCAAACAGCUGUUGAAUACCAAUUAAGGUCUGACCCCUGCAGAGUGCCCUGGGGCCCUGGUGGAGCUGUCAAAGACACAGUGCAGAUGUGCAAGGAGGGAUCAGGGAAAGGCAAUAACCAUGGUGCUCAGUCUGGUCCAUUACUUCUGAAACAAAAGCAAGACCUACAGUUGCCCUGUUGCCAUGGCAGUCACUAAAGGGAUAAGAAGGUAACUCGCACAGGGAGGAUGAUACCCCUGCCAGCUCCAGUGCCUGGAGAGGAUGAAGAGGAGGCUGUCUAAAGAUAAUCUCUUUCAUCCGUUCUCAAUUUAAAAGGCAGUCGACUGCUUCUGCCUAACUUCUCUUCAGGGAGGUUUCCACAGAUUACAGAAGUACCUUUUUAGUACCCAGGGCACAUUCCAUCCUGUCUCGAAGUCCCUUUCUUCAGCUUCUUCUAGAACUUCUGGUGAACAAGGGUGCUAAGAGCAAAGCACUUCUAAGAUUCAACCACUCAAACUCUGAAACAAAUGUUGGAGGGCUACUCCAUCCGCAUGGCCGCAACCCAACAUGGCAUUUACCUCAAAAGACCCAGUGACUGCUCCCAAAAGCAGUGUGGACGGAUUGUGGGAAGACACAGCAUGAUGGAGCUCCUGAAGUAAGAAGAUACAAGUUACGAUCUAAGCUGAAAGGCUGGUCAGGAAGGAAAGGGAAGACUGUGGCCAGGAAUCAAAAAACCUAGACAAAGAGUUGCAUGGUGGCAAACAGACUUAUAUGGGCCUGGGCUAUAGACCAGAGAGCUCACAAAAGGUGGUAAAGGACAGACCUUCCCAGUGCCCAGCCUUUUCCUGUGCUUCCCAUUGGCUGAAAUCGAAGGAAAGCCAGAAACUUGGCAUCAUGGGAUGUCAUCUGACAAAGGGAAGAAUGGCUCUGGCAUGAGGAUGGGGAAAAGGAAAGUAAGCAACCAAAUAAUUAAAGGAAUUAGAGGAAUCUAAGUUGUGAAGUUAGUGAGCAAGAGACACACAGCUUUGUUUGGAAGAACAGGAGAGACCUGAAGCAGGGACACUGUUAAGGAAAUGGAAACUAAAGGGGAAGAAUAUGGCUUGGAAUCUGGGCUCUUGCUCACUCUUGAGUAAGACUCCUGAGCCAAAUGUGAAGGAGAGAAAGAAGGGACAAAGGGAGUCAUGGUGGAACAAUACCAGUAAAGGGCUAAAAAACUCCCAUGUGUUCCUCCGAAUGGGAGUCGUAGGUAGCCAUGGUUUCAGAGCGCACAGCUGUGGGAAGAAGCUAGAAGCUGAUGAGAAGCAGGCGGGGAAGACAAGCUCUGUGGGUGAGACUUAGCAUCAGCAGGAUCCUGCUGCAAGGACCACCCUCUAGCCGGAGGCUGCCUGGGACCCCACAAGGAGAGCCUGUGCCCCUAACCAGGCUCCAGGCUGUUGGGAGAUGCCUCUGAACUGAGACCCCCAAGCUGUUUGCCUCCCUUGGUGGCCCUUCAGCAGACAAAGCCCUCAUUAAGAUUUCUUUCAGCUUCUGUCUUCUUGGAACACCUGAGACAAGAGAAUGAUGAAUGGCAGCCUGGAGAUCAGCCUGGAGCCACACCUUGCCCUUUGAGUAGCCUCUCCCAUGACAAUCAACACUUUUCUAGAGCCUGGAGGCUGCUGUCGCAGGAUCUGGAUCUCCUUGCACCAUCCUCUCUGUCUUCUUCUGAGAAUAUCAUUGAGCCAACCUACCUUCCUCCGGUGGGAAGAUAUACUUCUGCACAGCCCUUCCUGGGAGAUAUUUACCACCUGGAUUCCAUGUGAACUGAUUCCACCAGGAAUUUGUGCAGUGUCUAUAAAGCAGGUUCCAGCUCAUGAAGGACAAAGGCUGGCAGCAAGGACUAAGCUGAGAUUAUCAUGCCCUUGGGACUGACUUGAGUUCAAAAUGCUGUGUGACCUAAGCCAAGAAGUAGCAGAAGUCACAUUAGGAUCCUUUGUCACAUUCUGAAGGUGGAUCUCCACACCUCAUCAGACCAGCACACCUGCUUUAGUCUAGGCCUCUUCUAGAAGCCAGCAUGACAUUCCAGUGCACGCCACAUCACUGUACAAUACAUGUCUUGUGCACAGGUGUGCUGCUCUGUCCCUGUCCCCCAGCAAGGUAGCUGGAGGUGUCAACCCAAAUAGAUCCUGAAAUCUGUUCAGCACUCUCAUUCCAAUCAUGAAGGUAGCUCACCUUGACUGUAACAUUCAUCUCAUGUCAGACAUUGAUCUAUGCUUUUCAUUAGCAGAUUUAAUCCUCUCAGCAAUACAAUGAGGAAACUGAAACAUGAAGAGACCAAGUGGCUGUCCAAGUCCACAAGCUAGAAAAGGGAAGACAGCCUCCUAGCAGGGCCAAUGCUCUUAGCCACAUAUCUUAUGUACAUGGGGGCCAUGCCUAGUUUUAAAAAGACAGUUGUGUCUAUGUGUCUGCAGCUACAUCUUUAUACUGUGGGGAAAACGUGGGGCCUAGACUGAAGAAUGUGUGGGUCAGAAAGUGGCUCUCCCACCACCAAGGUUGUUGGUCAUCUCUGAACACUCAAAAUCAGGCCAAUGUUCUCUCUGUCCAUCUGCUGUGACUGGAAAGGGGUGUUCAGUGCAAUGAAUACAUUGGCUGUCUGCCUCUUUGCAGUGAUCAGACUGACAAGACCCAUCUUUGACCCUGUUGAGUUUGGGUCCAAUGAGUAUGGAGAGUAUAAGAGAGUGAGUUAAAUGGUUGUGUAGUGAGCAUCUGGCACUGCUAGGAGAUGCUCUAGAAAUCACUGAUCUCUAUUCAUUUACAUAUUUUACAUAAAAGUCCAGAAGAUGCAUUCUUGUAUCCUGUUACAGUUUGAAUGUGAAGUCUCCCCUCCCCAGCUCAUAUUUUGAAGUUUUGGGCUUUUUCCCCCCCACCACCAAGAUGACAGUGUUAUUCUGGAGGGUCGUACAAUGACUAUGAGGUGUCUGAAGUAGGCCCCUGGUGGCAGCCCUUUCAAGGUCUUGUUUGGCCCCUGCUCUGGGCCCAUUCUCCUCGCUCUCUUGUUCACCGUGCUGAGACAUCUCCUCCACACUUUUCCACUCCCAUGCCUUCCUCACCACCACUGGCUGAAAUCCCUUUUGAUAUUCUGAGCCAAAAUAAACUUCUCCUUCUUUAAA